UGCCAAAGAAUGGGACAUGUGGCUGCUCAGUGUGAAGGAAAGGAAAGAUGUGCAAAGUGUGGAGGGGAACAUGAUAACGGUAGGCUGCCUUGUCUGAAAGGGAUGCCUGGAGAGAAGCUUCCUCAUUUGCUGUUGAAGUACUGUGAGAGAAUCGCUGCUCUUGGUGCAUUUGCUGGGAAGACUGCCAUUCAUGUGCUGGGGAACGAAUACAAGCCAGGAGAGUGGAUAAUAGUACGGUCCUCAACAUCAUGUUAAGCCAUUAGCACUGUGUGGUAAUCACUCUGCUAUUAUUGUGCAACUUUGUGUGUGAAAAUAAGUGUUCAAGACAUUCCAUCGGGUGCGGUACUGCUCUGCUUUUGUGUCAUUGUGCUAAUGUUGUAUGUCACCAACACCUGGUAGAAGGUAGUGAUUACAGGUUACUGUGUCACAGCCCCAUGAGGACUGGCCUCUGUACCACCCCACUGUUACGACUAUCAACCUGGGCUUGCUCCCACACAUUGCUGGACUUCUACAGGCCCAUCAGCUCCCAGGAGGUGAGCUCCACAACAGGUUAUUGUCCUGCUGAAAGGGGAUUUCAUCUCCCAGUGUCUGGUGGAAAGCAGACUGAACCAGGUUUUCCUCUAGGAUUUUGCCUGUGCUUAGCUCAAUUGUCUCUUUUUUAUCCUGAAAAACUCCCCAUUCCUUAACAAUUACAAGCAUACCCAUAACGUGUGAAAAAUGGCGCCGACAGAGGGCUGCCAUGCUUCUAACUCUACAAGCAUUUCGCUACACCCACAAUAACAUCUGCUAAACACGUGUAUGUGACCAAUUCAAUUUGAUUUGACAUGAUGCAGCCACCACUAUGCUUGAAAAUAUGGAGAGUGUACUCAAUAAUGUGUUGUAUUGGAUUUGCUCCAAACAUAACACUUUGUAUUCUGGACAAAAAGUGUAUUGCUUUGCCAAUUUAUUUGCAGUAUUACUUUAAUGCCUUGUUGCAAACAGGAUGUUGUUGAUCCAUCCUCAGUUUUCU
ensembl:lncRNA